AAAGACUGCAGUUUUGCACUAUUCAUAUCCAACGUUUGACCGUCCGUUUUAUUUGAAAGUUUUUUAUAAUUAGUAUUUUUAUUGAUAUUAAAUGAUAAAUUAUGAAUAAUAUUUUAUGUGUGACUAUUUUUUAAUUUUUUUAAUAAAUUUUCAAACAAGACGGACGUGGUUAG
rnacentral:pre_miRNA from 1 species